rnacentral:rRNA from 1 species
GACAGAGGGUGCAAACGUUGCUCGGAAUUACUGGGCGUAAAGCGCGUGUAGGCGGGCCGAUAAGUCAGACGUGAAAUCCCUGAGCUCAACUCAGGAACUGCAUCUGAAACUGCCGGUCUAGAGUGGUGGAGAGGGAAGCGGAAUUCCUGGUGUAGAGGUGAAAUGCGCAGAUAUCAGGAGGAACACCGGUGGCGAAGGCGGGUCUCUGGGCCGGAACUGACGCUGAGGAGCGAAAGCGUGGGGAGCAAACAGG